rnacentral:rRNA from 1 species
GGGCCCGCACAAGCGGUGGAGCAUGUGGUUCAAUUCGACGCAACGCGAAGAACCUUACCUGGGUUGGAACCCUCCAGAAGUCCGCAGAGAUGUGGAUGUGCCCGCAAGGGAAUUGGAUGUCCAGGUGCUGCAUGGCUGUCGUCAGCUCGUGUCGUGAGAUGUUGGGUUAAGUCCCGCAACGAGCGCAACCCUUGUCGUUAGUUGCCAGCGGUUCGGCCGGGCACUCUAACGAGACUGCCGGUGUUAAACCGGAGGAAGGUGGGGAUGACGUCAAGUCCUCAUGGCCCUUAUGCCCAGGGCUACACACGUGCUACAAUGGCCGGUACAAAGGGUUGCUAACCCGCGAGGGUACGCCAAUCCCAAAAAACCGGCCUCAGUUCAGAUUGAAGUCUGCAACUCGACUUCAUGAAGUCGGAAUCGCUAGUAAUCCCUGAUCAGCAGGCAGGGGUGAAUACGUUCCCGGGCCUU